UAGGGAAUCUUCGGCAAUGGACGAAAGUCUGACCGAGCAACGCCGCGUGAGUGAAGAAGGUUUUCGGAUCGUAAAACUCUGUUGUUAGAGAAGAACAAGGACGUUAGUAACUGAACGUCCCCUGACGGUAUCUAACCAGAAAGCCACGGCUAACUACGUGCCAGCAGCCGCGGUAAUACGUAGGUGGCAAGCGUUGUCCGGAUUUAUUGGGCGUAAAGAGAGCGCAGGCGGUUUCUUAAGUCUGAUGUGAAAGCCCCCGGCUCAACCGGGGAGGGGCAUUGGAAACUGGGAGACUUGAGUGCAGAAGAGGAGAGUGGAAUUCCAUGUGUAGCGGUGAAAUGCGUAGAUAUAUGGAGGAACACCAGUGGCGAAGGCGGCUCUCUGGUCUGUAACUGACGCUGAGGCUCGAAAGCGUGGGGAGCAAACAGG
rnacentral:rRNA from 1 species